rnacentral:rRNA from 1 species
CAGUCGCCACGGUAAUACGAAGGGGGCAAGCGUUGUUCGGAAUUAUUGGGCGUAAAGGGUGCGUAGGCGGCUUGACAAGUCUUGUGUGAAAUCUAUGGGCUCAACCCAUAGUCUGCACGGGAAGCUGUCGGGCUUGAGAAUGGGAGAGGUGAGUGGAAUUCCCAGUGUAGAGGUGAAAUUCGUAGAUAUUGGGAAGAACACCGGUGGCGAAAGCACUCUGCUGGGCCGACACUGACACUGAGAGACGAAAGCUAGGGGAGCAAAUGGGAUUAGAUACCCGUGUAGUCCCUGUCUCUUAUAC